AACAAUUAGAAGUUCCAAAUGAUACAAGAAAAUUAAAACAUGUUCCCUAAGUAUCCGCGCCAUUGGCAUGGCAAGUACCCCUUGCUCUCCCUGUACGGAAAGUCUCUACCCACCAUGCCACGCUAUGCCGUGCUGUGCUGCGCUGUGCUACGGUUUGCCGUGCCAUCCUCAACCGCGUAGCGUGGCUAGUUGUUUCUUUUCUUUAUUCCUUUGUCGGAAAGUCGGUGGCGAGUCUCGUUUUUAAGAGAAGAGUAGAGGGGAGGAGGCAAAAGGAAAACGACAACCGCUCAGCAGGGGCUGAGGAAGGAAUGGUCGGGCUGGGGCUACAGAGAGGGGUACAGGGAGGGAGGAAGGGCCACGCAGCAAGGAGAAUAAAACUGAACUGUCUUCCUGUCGUCUGGAGAGAGGUACGAUUGCUCUUUGCGAAUGCGACACGCCGGCUUUUGCAUGGUAUCGCCCAUUCGAAAGCGUUGUCCGGCCUGGCGUCCGUUUCGUUUGCGUUAUUAUGUAAUGUUACGUGCGAAUAGCGUGUAUAUGGCACGCCGGUAAAAGGCUGUUGCACUAUUAAAGAAAAUUGCCCUCUCGCGGUGGUGAAUAGGAAGCGUCAUGCAUUCUUCGAUACGGUCAUCGAUCUGCUAUUCGAUCUAAGAACGUAAACUCUGCUAUGUAUAGUACUUUAGAAGUUUUUUUAAUAAUAAAAGAAUAAUAUAAAUUGAAGAGAAAAAAACAGGAAGGAGAGGAUGAAGAGGAGAAAGGAAGAAAUAAGAGAGGAAAGAAGGUCCACGACCGGAUCUUAUAAUUACGCUAAUUAGGCAGUAACGUGUAAAAAGAGCGGCGCGAGUAUUUAUCACAAGGUAUCGUGGAAGGUAUACGGAGGUCGGCAAAGGAGGACGUCGUACGACAGAAUACGACAGGAAAGGCUAUAAUACAAUUUUGCCGCAAGCAUCAGAAGUAACAGCAGCAGCCACGGCGAUUAACAAUAAAUUAUUGUGUUUACAUAUAUUAUGUAAAUUAAAAAUUUAUAUUAUCUUUAAACAUAAACAUUGAGGUCAUUAUUAAUUUAACGUACCCGGCCCAGCAUCUCUUCUAAGAUUUACGAACAAGGUAUAUUCAAAGAAUCUCUCAUACUCUUUCAUAAAAAUUAGCCCAUCCCUACAUAAGAUGCGCCAACGCGUUCCCUAUGCGCGUGUCUAGCUUAGCAAAGGGUUCAUUCAAGCGGAAUUAUCGUUAUCGCUGGUUUCCCGUUCUAUUUUUCCGUGGGUGUGUAAUCAGCGACCGACAAAUCCGGACUGAACGUGUGUGGUUGCUACCCGUCAGAGAUUUUUCUCUCAUCAGGCCAGAACAGCCCGGGACUGAGCGUUUAUGGGUACCUUUGCUGGAUGGAUUCGUCGGAAGGGGAGGGUCGUGGGAUAGAGGGGUUGGGUAGCGGCGGUGGCGGCGACGUGAGGGGGAGAGAGAGAGAGGAAAGAGAGAGCCUCGGUUGGAUUACGGGCCAGUCGAGCCGGAGCGGGGGUGGGGGGAAGGAGGAAGCGGUCGGCGCCUUUGAUCUCAGCCGCGGGCGCCGACAAAGCGUUCAUCCACUCUCCUACAACGGCGUGCUGUCUCGCGAGUAGGAGCGCGACAAUGCUCACCAGGCAAAGCAUGCGAGAGAGAUAAUGGAUAAAGUGAGCCAACCGGUAAGGUAGCAUAAUACAGAGCAAGAAGGAAGAGAAGCGGAAAGAGAAAGCUUGAGCAACGCCGGACGAAUGGUACGCUGCGGCGCGAUGGGGGAAGGGAGAAAAACAUAGAGAGGCCGAAGAACACAUGGAGAGACUGAGAGAAAGAGAGCUCUUCGAUCAGACGGAGAAACGAAUGGAAAAAGAGGGACCAAGGGACGAGCAAAGGGAGAAGAUAGGGAACGAGAAAGUGUAAACACGAAUGGAAGAGAAAGAAGGGGAUAGGAAACAGAGAUGAUUCGUUGGAGAAACAGAAAGAGCUAGAAAAACGGAGAGGGAGAUUGGAAGGAAAAGAGAAAGGGAGAAAAGAUCCGAAGAUCCGUUCCACGAUCUGGUGCUGUCGCGCUUGCUUUAGCAUGGCACUGCCACUCCCUUGCGCCGGCUACACCAGCUUUGCUAUUAAUAAAUAAUGCUCCGUGAUCCGCAUUACAACUAAAGCGAUUCGUUCCGCUCUUGGCUCUUUAUUCCCAAUAUCUUCGAACAUGUGGAUAUCCGCGAAAUCUCUGUUCCUUCCGUAUCGCGUCGGAUCUUUUUUAGUAGGUUUCUGAAUGAACCGCCUACCUUCGAUACAACAAAGCUUAUAUAUGACUUUGAAGAAGUCCACACCAUGAUUUCUCUUUAGUCGAGUUAUAAGAGACGCGUUAAAGAGAUUCCAAUUUAGAGUAUUAGAGAAACAAGGAUGUGUGAGGCGGCGAACAUGAUUCACGGAAAUAUGGAUGCAUCCAUUUGAUGGGUCACGAAACUGCUAUUUGUAAUAUUUCAUGUUUAUGACCCCGUAUGCGAUAAUGAUAACAGUCAUCAAUGAAUAAUAUGUUAAAAAACAACGUUAUGAUGAUUAAAUGUCUAUUAGAAUAUCAUUAUUUUUUUAUGCAAUUGUACUUUCUUUUUUACUUGAUUCAAGUAUAUUUUGUGUAACAGUACUUUAAUAUUGAAAUAUUUUUUAAAUAUUAUAAAAUUUUAAAUUUAUUGUUUAGAAUUUGUUAUAGAAUAUUUUAAUAGAAUCUAAUAACAAUCUUAGUUAAUUUUCUGUGGUGGUUGUUCGAGCAGAACAUAGGUCGACCGUAAUUUACAGAAAUUUUAUUCGUGAAAAUGUUUUACAUACAAAGCUCCGUGUUUUUCUCCUAAUAUUGAUUAAAAAACCGCAUAUUCCAUAUGUUUUUAGCCUCCUUUUGAGUUACUGCGCUCGUUGCACACACUUUGAUUGCACUUAAGCAAAUUUCAAGCCCUGGAAAUUAUACAGGUUUAGCGCGAAUAAAAACUGACUCUGAUCACCAAACUUACAAUAUCUUUUUAUUAUUUGUAAAACGCUAAUUUCUCAAAUUCUUCGUGAACUUAAAUCACAGGAGACAUAUAGAUUGCACCAACCAUCAUCAACUUGUCAUUUAAUUAAUUUGAUAAAAUUAUGGAACUUACACAAAAAGGAAACGGUAUGACAAGUAGAGGGUUCCUCAUUACGUUUUAUAAUUAGUCAUACAAUUACAUAUCAGAAACUUCUUGCAAAUGGUUUUUAAGUAUAAUCGCAAAUUGUGUAGAAUAAAUAAUUAUAAAUUGUAUAGAAUAACUUUUAGAAAAAUGAAUCUCAAAAGAAUCGAGCCAUAUUCUUGAAACGCGUUGUUGAUACAUAUAAUUUUUAUUUUCUAUCAUUUUGCUCCUGGUCAAAUAAUUUUUUGUGUUUUAGGUACUGAGUAGGCCAUAUCGUAUCUUAUACAAAUUAUGUCAUUAAUUAAGAAAAAGUAUAAAUCAAAUUUGAUUUUUUAAUUUAAUUAAUCUCUUGUUAAAAUGACCGUUCAUUGCCGGUAUUAAAAAAAAAAA